rnacentral:rRNA from 1 species
GAUGAACGCUGGCGGCGUGCUUAACACAUGCAAGUCGAACGGUGAACGAGGGAGCUUGCUCCCUCCGGAUCAGUGGCGAACGGGUGAGUAACACGUGAGCAAUCUGCCCUGGACUCUGGGAUAAGCGUUGGAAACGACGUCUAAUACCGGAUACGAGACGCGAAGGCAUCUUCAGCGUCUGGAAAGAACUUCGGUCCAGGAUGAGCUCGCGGCCUAGCAGGUAGUUGGUGAGGUAACGGCUCACCAAGCCUACGACGGGUAGCCGGCCUGAGAGAGUGACCGGCCACACUGGGACAGAGACACGGCCCAGACUCCUACGGGAGGCAGCAGGGGGGAAUAUUGCACAAUGGGCGCAAGCCUGAUGCAGCAACGCCGCGUGAGGGACGACGGCCUUCGGGUUGUAAACCUCUUUUAGCAGGGAAGAAGCGAAAGUGACGGUACCUGCAGAAAAAGCACCGGCUAACUACGUGCCAGCAGCCGCCGUAAGAC